CCAGACACAACCCACAGGACACCAGCCUCUCCCAUCCAGACACAACCCACAGGACACCAGCCUCUCCCAGCCAGACACAACCUACAGGAUGCCAGACACACCCUACAGGUCACCCACAUCUCCCAGCCAGACACAACCCACAUGACACCAGCCUCUCCCAGCCAGACACAACCUACAGAACACCAGACACAACCCACAGGACACCAGCCUAUUCCAGCAAGACAACCUACAGGACACCAGCCUCUCCCAGCCAGACACAACCCACAGGACAGCAGCCUCUCCCAGCCAGUCACAGCCCACAUGACACCAGCCUCUCCCAGCCAGACACAACCUACAGGACACCAGACACAACCCACAGGACACCAGCCUAUUCCAGCAAGACAACCUACAGGACACCAGCCUCUCCCAGCCAGACACAACCCACAGGACAGCAGCCUCUCCCAGCCAGACACAACCCACAGGACACCAGCCUCUCCCAGCCAGACACAACCUACAGGACACCAGACACAACCCAUAGGACACCAGCCUAUCCCAGCCAGACACAACCCACAGGACACCAGCCUCUCCCAGCCAGACACAACCCACAGGACACCAGCCUCUCCCAGCCAGACACAACCUACAGGACGCCAGACACAACCCACAGGGCACCAGCCUAUCCCAGCCAGACACAACCUACAGGACACCAGACACACCCUACAGGUCACCCACAUCUCCCAGCCAGACACAACCCACAUGACACCAGCCUCUCCCAGCCAGACACA
ensembl:lncRNA